UACGUAGGGGGCAAGCGUUGUCCGGAAUCAUUGGGCGUAAAGCGCGUGUAGGCGGUUCGGUAAGUCGGCUGUGAAAGUCCAGGGCUCAACCCUGGGAUGCCGGUCGAUACUGCCGGACUAGAGUUCGGAAGAGGCGAGUGGAAUUCCCGGUGUAGCGGUGAAAUGCGCAGAUAUCGGGAGGAACACCUAUGGCGAAGGCAGCUCGCUGGGCCACACCUGACGCUGAGACGCGAAAGCUAGGGGGAGCGAACAGG
rnacentral:rRNA from 1 species